GCCCGUGUGGCGGAAUUGGCAGACGCAGCGGACUUAAAAUCCGUGGGGUAAAACCUUGGGAGUUCAAGUCUCCCCAUGGGCA
rnacentral:tRNA from 1 species